AACGAACGCUGGCGGCAUGCCUAACACAUGCAAGUCGAACGAGACCUUCGGGUCUAGUGGCGCACGGGUGCGUAACGCGUGGGAACCUGCCCUUAGGUUCGGAAUAACUCCCCGAAAGGGGUGCUAAUACCGGAUAAUUUCUUCGGACCAAAGAUUUAUCGCCUUUGGAUGGGCCCGCGUUGGAUUAGCUAGUUGGUAGGGUAAAAGCCUACCAAGGCGACGAUCCAUAGCUGGUCUGAGAGGAUGAUCAGCCACACUGGGACUGAGACACGGCCCAGACUACUACGGGAGGCAGCAGUGGGGAAUAUUGGACAAUGGGCGAAAGCCUGAUCAAGCAAUGCCGCGUGAGUGAUGAAGGCCUUAGGGUUGUAAAGCUCUUUUACCCGGGAUGAUAAUGACAGUACCGGGAGAAUAAGCUCCGGCUAACUCCGUG
rnacentral:rRNA from 1 species